rnacentral:tRNA from 1 species
GAGGGUAUAGCACAAGUGGUAGAGCACAUGCUUAGCAUGCAUGAGGUCUUAGGUUCAAUUCCCAGCACCUCCU